rnacentral:rRNA from 1 species
GAUGAACGCUGGCGGCGUGCCUAAUACAUGCAAGUCGAGCGAACAGACGAGGAGCUUGCUCCUCUGACGUUAGCGGCGGACGGGUGAGUAACACGUGGAUAACCUACCUAUAAGACUGGGAUAACUUCGGGAAACCGGAGCUAAUACCGGAUAAUAUAUUGAACCGCAUGGUUCAAUAGUGAAAGACGGUUUUGCUGUCACUUAUAGAUGGAUCCGCGCCGCAUUAGCUAGUUGGUAAGGUAACGGCUUACCAAGGCGACGAUGCGUAGCCGACCUGAGAGGGUGAUCGGCCACACUGGAACUGAGACACGGUCCAGACUCCUACGGGAGGCAGCAGUAGGGAAUCUUCCGCAAUGGGCGAAAGCCUGACGUAGCAACGCCGCGUGAGUGAUGAAGGUCUGCGGAUCGUAAAACUCUGUUAUUAGGGAAGAACAAAUGUGUAAGUAACUAUGCACGUCUUGACGGUACCUAAUCAGAAAGCCACGGCUAACUACGUG